GGACCAGGAGGAUAUGGAAACCAAGGUGGUGGAUAUGGUGGCGGUGGUGGAGGAUAUGAUGGUUACAAUGAAGGAGGAAAUUUUGGCGGUGGUAACUAUGGUGGUGGUGGGAACUAUAAUGAUUUUGGAAAUUAUAGUGGACAACAGCAAUCAAAUUAUGGACCCAU